rnacentral:misc_RNA from 1 species
AUCGGCAAACAGGCAGACUCAAGCAACACGUCUGCCUCCCUUCUUCGAAGCACUCUGUGGCCUCUGCUUCUCGCGUUAUUCUGUCCUGCGGGUAGGCCACGUUGCUUGCUGUGACGCAAAGGCGCUCCACGAGUGCGCAGCUGAGACGAGCGUUGAGCUGGUGUUCGCUUCAGCCUGGAAGUGCACGCUCAGUCCAGUUGGAAGCGUCUUCUCUGUCCUCCGUCGCCAUGCUUUCCCUCAGGAUGCGUUCCAUAAAAACGUUCGGAUGCGUGACGCUGUCCUUGGACAAGUCGUUUUCAGUCUUCGUCAGCGUUGAACGACUCUGGUGCUGAGCGGGUCGCCUGCGGGGAGGGAUCGGUAAAGCGCGCCUCAGGCGUUUGGCACGCUCGCGGCUGAGAAGCUCGUGGAAAAGGCAGCUGCGGGAUCGGAAACAUAUAUACGCGGGGAGGCAAGUUUCUGGCUCGCCGUCCAUCCACGGGGUCUGACUGCCGGUGUAAGAAAAUGGAAGUGGAGUGCGACGUGCACAUCCACGCUACCCGCCACGAAAGGAGAAUGCGAAGCAACCACCUGACAGAAAAGAGAAGGAUCCCAGCCGCAAAGAGGACGACGAGAGUCAGGAAGGAAACCCUGCGCACUGGAAAGGCCAGUCCGAAACCAGCGCCUACACGUCGGUGCCAGAACGCAUCAACGGAAAAAAUUCUCCGAGUACGUGAGAUGCCCAGGGCUAUUAGGUAUUGCGUAGAAUGUGGUUGUCGGAAGGCUCGCCUAGCUCUCCCCGAAUGGAUGCCCCUCGUGCAGCAACUGGCGGCAAGGGUUUCGGAGGCAGCGCUGCCAGCAGUUCGCAUUCGUAGGGAGUUUUUGGUCAAACCCUCGAGCGACAGCACUAGGAAUGCUCCGCUCCGAGCAUGCCAGCGGGCCUGUUCGUGGUGUCAUUGACCAAUACACACGCUGGCCGGCAUCCGUUUCUGCGCUGCACUACAUGGUUGCUCGGCCCAUGGACAGCGUAGGUGCCAGGAAAAGUUUCGCCCAAACCUCAGAACCCAUAGCCAAGAGCGGGUCCGUGGCGACUACCCUACGAGGCGCACCCCAGAGGCGUUGUACUCGUUGCGUCCACAGCGUUGUGGUCGACGAAAUGUUGGCGACUGGCGCAAGCGGCUCUUGGGAUGUCCGUGGAGGCACGUGACGAGCUGGCUCCGGACGAGAAGGUGCUGGAAGCGAGCUCGGAGAUGUCGCAUCGAGAACGAGCGACGCUCCAGAUCGUCCGAGCUCAUGGAGUAGGUUUCUGUUCCGGAGCUGGGCACGUCGUCUCGGAAGGAUUACGCGGGCGUUGACCUGGCCUAACUUGCAUCCUGCGCUGCUAGGUUUUCGCGAACGCGGCGCUCCACCGCAAGGCAGACCCUCUGGUCGUAUGUGAGCGCCUUUGCAUCCUCAAACCCCUGGUCGAUACGGUCCCCGCAUUUCGGGGCAAAGCCCAUGAUACCACCGUGCAUAUUUGUGUGGUGUACGACGUCCUCAGUGGUCUACGAUGUGUGCGCACGAGCAGCUAGGGGGCACUCUACCUAUUUCGGGCAGAGCGUUGGCGGGGCUCGUUCAUCGCCACUCGUUGGCUGGGAAAACACGGAAAGCGAUGUACAGGGGCCUUGGAGACGCGCACGGCACAUCAAACAGCAUGCACUUUGCGAAACCCCGGCCCGCUCGGAGCAACGAGACUCAUAUUCAACCGCUUACGGAAAACGAACGUGAAGGCUUCGUGGUGCGCGUGGAUGCCGUUUCUGAGGGCCCGUGGCCGUCACCGUGCCCGUUCGUCAAGGGGCAGCGCCAGAGACCUGAACGGAAAGCAAAUGAGUCUGCUCCACGCCUCCAGGGCUCGGUAUCAUCCGGAGUUGGACGUGAACGACGCCAGCAGGCGUACCAACUCGUGGAAUGACGACGUAAAGACCUGUCGUGACGCGCUGAGUACGGUAUCGGGCAAAAGGAGAUGCACUGCGCACCUCAUUCAUAACGGGUAUGAGCGACUAGAUCGCUCAUGCGGACGAGCCAUGGCAGAGGAACGCGGGACCGAGCUCGAGUCUCCAACAGUCGCAACCGCUCGCGGGCACGAGGCGGGUAUUCGCAAGCUUCCUCAAAGCACUGGAAACGGAACUGGCCGAUCGGUUGCAUCUUAUAAAGAUAGUGCAUGGCGGUGGACGCGCUCUAGUUGCAGAACUGGACUGUCGUCGAUAACGCACAAGGGAUCCGCGAACCGGCACUGAAGUGCUCUCAGUGAUGAGCUCUGGACGAGAUUCUCACAUCGCGAGCACAGAGACACGCUGAAACUGCCGGUGAAGACGAUUUGGAAACGGAGCCGGACGUAUGAGAUGACGUACGCUGAGUUCAUUGAGCUCCAGGUGGCAAUGCAGUCACAGUUGAGACGCUUGCUGUGGAGUGUCUCCAUCACGAACGGGAAACGCGUCCAGUUUCUGAACCGAGAUUUGAGCGCCCAUAUCAGCAUCUGGAACUGCAUCGUUCUUCAGGAGCGUCCAUCGGCUUUACUUCAGGCGAGGCUUCGAUUCGAUUGUCUAGUAUGCAGUGUGGGUAUUGUGCUGGAAUGCUGCGGACUCUCGAUGAAAAACAUCAUGUAUCAUCAGAGCGGCGAUUAAGUCCCCGCUUGGAGCAAGCCACUUGUAUGGUACGGUCUGCACUGUAUCAAGGCUGGACUGCCAUAUACCUUCGCCACGAACAAUGUUCGUGGGUAAUUGUUAAACUAUAAUUGUG